rnacentral:rRNA from 1 species
GUGGGGAAUUUUGGACAAUGGGCGCAAGCCUGAUCCAGCCAUUCCGCGUGCAGGAUGAAGGCCUUCGGGUUGUAAACUGCUUUUGUACGGAACGAAAAGCCUCUGGUUAAUACCCGGGGGUCAUGACGGUACCGUAAGAAUAAGCACCGGCUAACUACGUGCCAGCAGCCGCGGUAAUACGUAGGGUGCGAGCGUUAAUCGGAAUUACUGGGCGUAAAGCGUGCGCAGGCGUUGAUGUAAGACAGUUGGGAAAUCCCCGGGCCCAACCUGGGAACUGCAUCUGUGACUGCAUUGCUGGAGUGCGGCAGAGGGGGAUGGAAUUCCGCGUGUAGCAGUGAAAUGCGUAGAUAUGCGGAGGAACACCGAUGGCGAAGGCAAUCCCCUGGGCCUGCACUGACGCUCAUGCACGAAAGCGUGGGGAGCAAACAGGAUUAGAUACCCCGGUAGUCC